AGCUCGAUAGCGCAACGGUAGCGCGUCUGUCCCCAAGGCAGGAAGAUCUCGGUUCGAAUCCGGGGCGAGCUA
rnacentral:tRNA from 1 species